rnacentral:rRNA from 1 species
CCGGCGCACGGGUGAGUAACACGUAUCCAACCUGCCGAUAACUCGGGGAUAGCCUUUCGAAAGAAAGAUUAAUACAAGAUGGCAUCAUGAGUCCACAUGUUCACAUGAUUAAAGGUAUUCCGGUAGACGAUGGGGAUGCGUUCCAUUAGAUAGUAGGCGGGGUAACGGCCCACCUAGUCUUCGAUGGAUAGGGGUUCUGAGAGGAAGGUCCCCCACAUUGGAACUGAGACACGGUCCAA